rnacentral:rRNA from 1 species
GACGAACGCUGGCGGCGUGCCUAACACAUGCAAGUCGAGCGGGAACCCAGGGAGGGGUAACCCUCCUCGGGGGAGAGCGGCGAACGGGUGAGUACCACGUGGGCAACCUGCCCCCGACACUGGGAAAACCCCGGGAAACCGGGGCUAAUACCGGAGACUCCGAGCGGACCGGCUGAUCCGGUCGGGAAAGCUCCGACGGUCUGGGAUGGGCUCGCGGCCUAUCAGCCUGUUGGUGGGGUUACGGCCCACCAAGGCGACGACGGGGAGCUGGUCUGAGAGGACGGCCAGCCACACUGAGACUGAGACACGGCCCAGACUCCUACGGGAGGCGGCAGUGGGGAAUCUUGCGCCAAUGCGCGAAAGCGUGACGCAGCGACGCCGCGUGGGGGAUGAAGGCCCUCGGGUUGUAAACCCCUUUCGCCAGGGACGAAGCGGAAGUGACGGUACCUGGAGAAGAAGUCCCGGCUAACUACGUGCCAGCAGCCGCCGUAAGAC